rnacentral:rRNA from 1 species
AGCGAACGCUGGCGGCAGGCCUAACACAUGCAAGUCGAACGAACUCUUCGGAGUUAGUGGCGGACGGGUGAGUAACACGUGGGAACGUGCCUUUUGGUUCGGAAUAACUCAGGGAAGCUUGUGCUAAUACCGAAUGUGCCCUUCGGGGGAAAGAUUUAUCGCCAUUAGAGCGGCCCGCGUCUGAUUAGCUAGUUGGUGAGGUGACGGCUCACCAAGGCGACGAUCAGUAGCUGGUCUGAGAGGAUGACCAGCCACACUGGGACUGAGACACGGCCCAGACUCCUACGGGAGGCAGCAGUGGGGAAUCUUGCGCAAUGGGCGAAAGCCUGACGCAGCCAUGCCGCGUGAAUGAUGAAGGUCUUAGGAUUGUAAAAUUCUUUCACCGGGGACGAUAAUGACGGUACCCGGAGAAGAAGCCCCGGCUAACUUCGUG